UACAGAGGGGGCAAGCGUUGUUCGGAAUUACUGGGCGUAAAGGGCGCGUAGGCGGCGGGGUAAGUCGGGUGUGAAAUCUCAGGGCUCAACCCUGAAACUGCACUUGAUACUGCUCUGCUUGAGGACUGGAGAGGAGACUGGAAUUCACGGUGUAGCAGUGAAAUGCGUAGAUAUCGUGAGGAAGACCAGUGGCGAAGGCGGGUCUCUGGACAGUUCCUGACGCUGAGGCGCGAAGGCCAGGGGAGCAAACCGG
rnacentral:rRNA from 1 species